GAGACAGGUUAGUUUUACCCUACUGAUGAAUUUAUUAUUCUUAUAUAUAAUGUAUUGUGACAGUAAUCCAACUUGGUACGAGAGGAUUAGUUGGUUCAGACAGUUGGUACAGCAAUUGGUUGACAAACCAGUGUUGCGAAGCUAAGUCUGUUGGAUAAUGGCUGAACGCCUCUUAAGCCAGAACCCAUGCUGAUUAAACAAUACUAUUUCGUUCUUCUUUGUUUCUACUUUUACUGCUGAUGUAAAAGCGAAGCUAUAUGUAUAACAUCUGUUAUACAAUUAAUCCCAUUGCCAUUUGGAGGCUUGCCUCCUUUUGGUUCUUGUAAUUAACAACAAAGUUGAAUUACACAAACUGUAGACGACUUUUUGGCCUCGGGGUGCUGUAAACAUGAAAGUAAACUUUGUUUUACGAUCUGUUGAGGCUUAUCCUCUGUGGUAAAGUGUUCUUAUUUUAUAUAUUAAUUAUAAAUAUUUAUAAUUAAUCAUAUAAUUAUUAAUUACUUAAAAAAUACUACUAUAUAAAAAAUAUAUUUUAAUUGGUAUAAUUUAUACCUUUUAAAAUUAUUUUUUAUAUAACCCUUAACAAUUUUAAUAAAUCAAAUUUUUACUUCAUUAUGUAUUUAUUUUUAUAUGACAUGUUUUUGCAUAACUUAUUCUAUUAUUAGUUCAAUUUAAUGUUUAGGAAAAUUGUAAAAUAUACUUAGUAUUUUUUUAAAAAUUUUAUACUUACCUCAAACAUGAUAUUAUAACUUGUAAAUAAUAAUAAUAUAAUUUUUUGGUACCUAUAAAAAUAAUAAGUCAUUAAUUUUUUUUUAAUAAUAUUUUUUCAAUACUUAAUAUAAUAAUAAUAAACUUUUUAAAAAUACUACUAAAAGUUUUUUGUAAAAUAAGAAGAAAAAUAUAGUAUAGUGUGUUUUUUUUCCCUUAUAUAUUUUUUUAGUUUAUGAUAUUCUAGAAUUAUGUACAAAAUUACGGUAAUAAAUUUUCCAACAUAUAUUUAAUAUGAUAUUAUUAUAGAUUAUGUUAAAGAUUAUGUAAUGUAUUUCCAACAUGUAUUUAUAAUAUUUUUUAUGUUAUGAUAUUUCCUAUAUUAUGUUAAAACUUAUCUAAUAAUUUUCCAACUAUUUUUAUCGUAUAUUUUUAAGUUAGAUAUUAUAGAUUAUGUUAAAAUUUAUUAUAAUAAAAUUAUUUUUUUUAUAUUUUACACUAAGUUAUUUUAUUAUUAUAUAUAAAAGUAAAAAUCUUUUGUAUAUACUAUUAAUAAUAUUUAUUAAUACUUGUAUUUAUAAUUUUUUUUUAUAAUUAACUCUAAAUAAUAUACUCCUUAUUUUUUGUUUAAUCAAAACUUGCAAUAUUAAGUGCUCCUUAAAAUUUUUUAUUUCCAUAAAAUCUUUUAGGGUUUUUAUAUUUUUAUAUUUUGGUGUGCUAUAAAAUCUAUGGGCUUUUACAAAAAUUAAAAAGUAAAGGUUUUAUUAUUUAUAAAGUUCCUUUUUAUUACAUAUUAUUAUAAAAAAUUGUUUUUAUUUUUUAUAGAAGUAUUGAUUUAAUAAGAUAUUAAUAAAUGAAAAGUAAGAGCGUUUAAAAAUGUAUAAAUACAACUCAUACAAAUAUUAUUAUGUGCCAUUAUUAAUUAAUAAUAUUGAUUAUAUUAUUAUAACAUUAAAUAUUCAAUUAUAAUAUUAGUAUAUACAUUUUUAUAUACUAUAAUAAUUAAUAAAACGAGUGCCCUAAAGUUAUGCUUACAUGAUGUUACUAUUUCAUGUACAAGUUGAGGCUAAUAAAUCAUUUAAAUAAUAUGUAUAUUAUUUUUCGAUUUUUAUGUAGAUAACAUUAUUAUAAAAAUAUUUUCUUAUAUAUGUUUGAACUAUCAAAUAGAUAUUUUUACAUUAAAUUUUUUGAAAACAUGUUCAUACUUUAUUAAAUUAUUGGUAUGAAGCCCAAUCCUUUUUUUUUUUCAAUAUAAAUUUAACUUUAUCUUUAUAAGAUAAAAAGUUUUAUAGUUGUAUUAUACACUAAAAAAAUAAUAUAAAUAUUGCUAUAUAGCAGCAUAUAUAUUUAACUAAACAUAUUAAUGUUUAUAUUUAUAAAAUACAAAUCACACAAAAAAAAAAUCAAAUCAUAUACAAACAUAUAUUUUGUUAAAAAUUGCAUAUUGUUUUUGAUAUGCUUCCAUACUAUAUAAGUUAUAAAAUAUAAUAUUCAUUAAUAUUUACUAUCCCCCCAUGAAAUUUAGUUUGCAUAUUUCAUUAGUUUCGUCACGAAUGCAUUUUCCCAUCUUUUAAACAUGAAGUCACUAGUAUUAUAAUGCCAUUCUGAUAUUUUAUCCUCUAUAUGAUCAAUAAACUUUAUUUUACAACAUACACAUCCUCCAUAGCAUUUCAUUAAAUCAUAUAAAUCAUUAUAAUAAUUUCUAUUUCUUUCCAAUAAAUAACUCAAUAUACAUGUGGUAAGCAUGUCCCACUCUUUCAUUAUAACUUCUUUUUCUACAUUAUACUCUUUUACAAUUGCUUCACAUAUUUUCCACAAUUUGUCCCUAAAUUCCAUAUACUUUGUUUUUUCGAAAUUCCGAAAAUAACUAUAUAUAAUAUGUAUGCAUUUAUUCUCUAUUACACUAUAUUUAGUUUUAUUGUUUGCAUAUGAUAAUAACAAAAUUUCUUUUAAUUUUUUCCAUAAAUUAAAAAUAUUCAUAUUAUUACCUACUCUUUCAAACUCCGUAAUAUUAUCUAUUAUAUGAUUAUUAUAAUAUUCAUUAUCAUAAUCAUCUGAAAUUGUAUCAUUAUUUGCCAUUUCAUUAGAAUCUAUCAAAUUUUCAACGUUAUCAUCAACAUUGUCAUCAUUCAUUUCGCCAUUUUCUGACAAUUCAUUAUCUUCUGUUAAAAUAUCACAAUGUGUGUACUCUUCUUCUAAUGUAAUCAUUGACAUGUUUUCAAUAUGAUCGAUAUGAUGCAUUGUCAUUUCGCCAGAAUUGUUAUUCAAAUUCAUAACAGACGAUAAGUUCAUAUCCUCAUUAUACAUUCGUUCCUUUUUGUUUAUCUCAUCAUGAUCCAAACCUUCUUCAUUGCUUAUGGUAUAAUUACUCAAGUCUCUAUUUACAUCAUCAUUGCAUAUAUUGUAAAUAUCAUCCAUAUUUAUACUUCACUAACUUUUUUUUUUUCCUUUUAAAGUACUCAUCAAUCAAUAUAAAUAUAAUAUACAUGGAUUUUUUUUAUUAUUGAUAAGUGGUAUAACAAUCACAUUCAUGUUUCAUAUUUUUAAAUACGCCCAAAUGUAAUAAUAUACAAAUACUUAUUCAUAAUUAUACUUUCAAAUUAUAUUCCAUACAAAUAUUAUUAUAAUGUAUAUUUUCUUUCUGCUUUUUCAAGAAUUGAGAUUAAUAUUUUAUUUUAUAAAAAAUCUUUAAAAUAUAUAAAUGAAAAAAAUAAUUGAGAGUGAAAUUAUUUUUAACCAACCCUUUACUACAAUCUAAUAUGUUAUCUUAUUUUCAUAAUUUUUUUUGGACAUAUAUAAAAUACUUAUUAAAAAUAAUUAAAUAUUCAUUCAUUUAUAUUUUCAUAUAAAACCAUCUUUAAAAAAAAAUUAAUAAAAAUAGGAUAUUAUUUAUAUGUUAUUGU
rnacentral:rRNA from 1 species